GCAGGUGUGGUGUAAUGAUUUGAGCUUUGGACUAUGACUCUGGAGAUCAGGGUUCAAUUCCCUGCAUAGCCA